GCCUGAGUGGCUCAGUCAAUUAAGCAUCUGACUUGGACUCAGAUCAUGACCUUGCGGUUCGUGGGUUUAAGCCCCGUGUCAGGCU
rnacentral:tRNA from 1 species